AGUGAACGCUGGCGGCGUGCUUAACACAUGCAAGUCGAACGAGAACGGGUUAUAGCUUGCUAUAAUUGUCAGCUAAGUGGCGCACGGGUGAGUAAUGUAUAGGUAAUAUGCCUCUUACUAAGGGAUAACAAAUGGAAACGUUUGCUAAUACCUUAUACUCCUUAUUAACAGAAGUUAAUAAGGGAAAGAUUUAUUGGUAAGAGAUUAGCCUGUAUUGUAUCAGUUAGUUGGUGAGGUAAUGGCUUACCAAGACUAUGACACAUAACUGGUUUGAGAGGAUGAUCAGUCACACUGGAACUGAGACACGGUCCAGACUCCUACGGGAGGCAGCAGUGGGGAAUAUUGCACAAUGGACGAAAGUCUGAUGCAGCAACGCCGCGUGGAGGAUGACACAUUUCGGUGCGUAAACUCCUUUUAUAUGAGAAGAUAAUGACGGUAUUAUAUGAAUAAGCACCGGCUAACUCCGUGCCAGCCGCCGCCGUAAAAC
rnacentral:rRNA from 1 species